rnacentral:tRNA from 1 species
GUUGGGUGGUGCAAUCGGUUAGCGUGCGGUACUUAUAAUGCCGAGGUUGGGAAUUCAAGCCUCACCCGGAGCA